rnacentral:tRNA from 1 species
GGUCCCAUAGCGUAGCGGUUAGGACUUCUGCUUUACACCCAGAAGGUCCUAGGUUCGUGUCCCAGUGGAGCCA